rnacentral:lncRNA from 1 species
UGGUGGCUAAAAUGGCAUUAUUUGUAUCCUCAUCUCUGUGGUAGUCAUAUUUCGCUGGCCCUUUUGUCAAUUAGUAAAAAAAUGUUUUUAACUUUUGAGGAAGUUAAAUUAAGUAAUCAACAUCGAAUAUGCCAAUCUGUUUAUGGCCUCAAUCUCCAAGGGCAUGGUUUGGCUGUUCUAGCUCAUAUUUCAAAAUGAUGCUAAUCAUUAAGUCUUCUACAAUAUUCUUCUUCUUUCUUUCUUUCUUUCUUUCUUUCUUUCUUUCUUUCUUUCUUUCUUUCUUUCUUUCUUUCUUUCUUUUGAUAAUCGAAAAAUCUACAAGGGCCAUUAUGCACAGUUUGAAACUUGAUGGUUAAUGGGCCCACCACUUUAUCCUUCUCCACUUAAAUACCAAGAUUUUCUUUAUGGUAGGGUUCAAACUCGUGAUGUGCACUUAAUCCAUAUAUCACAAAUUGUGCUCUUACCACUAAAUCAAAGCUCAGAAUUUCCUAGUCGCUUGUGUUCAUGGAACUAUCAUUACAUGUGAUGAUCAUAAAGGGUUGAUCAAUUAAAAGAUGUUUAUAACUUUUGAGGAAGUUAAAUUAAGUAAUCAACAUCGAAUGUGCCAAUCUGUUUAUGGCCUCAAUCUCCACGGGCAUGGUUUGGCUGUUCUAGCUCAUAUUUCAAAAUGAAGCAAAUCAUCAAGUCUUCUACAACAUUUUUCUUCUUUCGUUCUUUCUUUCUUUCUUUUGAUAACAGAAAAAUCUCCAAGAGCCAUUAUGCACCGUCCGAAACUCGAUGGUUAAUGGGCCCGCCACUUUAUCCUUCUCCACUUAAAUACCAAGAUUUUCUUUAUGGUAGGGUGCGAACUCGUGACGUGCACCUAAUCCACA